AUGACCGCGACGCUUCAGGAUAUUGCUAUGAUCACCGGUCUUCCAAUCGAUGGGAACCCUUUAUGUAUGAACACCAAUUCUAAUGGGUGGCGCGCGCAGAUGCAUGCCCUUAUCGGUAUGGUUCCUCCGGAGCCUCGGGAACCAGAAGUAGAAGACAAGAAGAAGAAAAGAGUCGCAGCCGGUGCUCCUUUCACGUGGAUUACAUUGCACUUUGGUACUUGCCCUGAGGAUGCUAAUGAGGACAUGGUCAAGACAUAUGCUCGUGUCUACAUGUGGUACGUGAUAUCCAGGACUACAUUUGCUGAUGGCAUAGGCAAGAAUGCUCCAUGGAUGUGGCUGAAGGCGUUGACCGUCUUCGAUAGCAAAUGGAGUUGGGGUUCGGCGACACUGGCUUACUUGUAUCGACAGUUGGACGAAGCCUAUUGUAGGCAAUCUGGAGGUAUUGGUGGUUGUCUGCUCGCACUUUCCAUAUGGGGCUGGGAGCGUUUGCCGGUUGGAUGA
rnacentral:rRNA from 1 species